rnacentral:rRNA from 1 species
CGGCCGUAACUAUAACGGUCCUAAGGUAGCGAAAUUCCUUGUCAGGUAAGUUCUGACCCGCACGAAUGGCGUAACGAUUUGGGCACUGUCUCAACAGCCCGCCCGGCGAAAUUGUAGUACCGGUGAAGAUGCCGGUUUCCCGCAACUAGACGGAAAGACCCCAUGGAGCUUCACUGUAGCUUGAUAUUGGAUCUCGGUAUUCCAUGUACAGGAUAGGUGGGAGACUUGGAAGUAAGCGCGCCAGCGUUUAUGGAGUCAACCUUGGGAUACCACUCUUGGGAUAUUGGGAUUCUAACCUGCGACCAUGAAUCUGGUCGGGGGACACUGUCAGGUGGGCAGUUUGACUGGGGCGGUCGCCUCCAAAAGAGUAACGGAGGCGCUCAAAGGUUCGUUCAGCACGGAUGGAAAUCGUGCACUGAGUGUAAACGCAUAAACGAGCCUAACUGCGAGAAUGACGGUUCGAGCAGUAACGAAAGUUGGAGUUAGUGAUCCGGCGGUAUGUGAAUGGAAAUGCCGUCGCUCAACGGAUAAAAGCUACCCUGGGGAUAACAGGCUGAUCUCCCCCAAGAGUCCACAUCGACGGGGAGGUUUGGCACCUCGAUGUCGGCUCAUCGCAUCCUGGGGCUGAAUUCGGUCCCAAGGGUUUGGCUGUUCGCCAAUUAAAGCGGUACGCGAGCUGGGUUCAGAACGUCGUGAGACAGUUCGGUCCCUAUCUGUUGCGGGCGCAGGAAUAUUGAGAGGAGCUGUCCUUAGUACGAGAGGACCGGGAUGGACGUACCGCUGGUGCACCAGUUGUUCUGCCAAGGGCAUAGCUGGGUAGCUAAGUACGGACGAGAUAAACGCUGAAGGCAUCUAAGCGUGAAACUCCCCUCGAGAUAAGUGUUCCCAUCCUUCGGGAGUAAGGCCCCUUGUAGACUACAAGGUUGAUAGGUCAGGAGUGGAAGUGCAGUAAUGUAUGGAGCGGACUGAUACUAAUAGGCCGAGGGCUUGACCUU